AGAGUUUGAUCCUGGCUCAGGACGAACGCUGGCGGCACGCUUAACACAUGCAAGUCGAACGAGAGAAGAGAAGUUUGCUUUUCUGAUCUAGUGGCGGACGGGUGAGUAACACGUGAGCAAUCUGCCUUUCAGAGGGGGAUACCGAUUGGAAACGAUCGUUAAUACCGCAUAACAUAAUUGAACCGCAUGAUUUGAUUAUCAAAGAUUUAUCGCUGAAAGAUGAGCUCGCGUCUGAUUAGCUAGUUGGUAAGGUAACGGCUUACCAAGGCGACGAUCAGUAGCCGGACUGAGAGGUUGAUCGGCCACAUUGGGACUGAGACACGGCCCAGACUCCUACGGGAGGCAGCAGUGGGGAAUAUUGCACAAUGGAGGAAACUCUGAUGCAGCGAUGCCGCGUGAGGGAAGAAGGUUUUAGGAUUGUAAACCUCUGUCUUCGGGGACGAAAAAAAGACGGUACCUGAGGAGGAAGCUCCGGCUAACUACGUGCCAGCAGCCGCGGUAAUACGUAGGGAGCGAGCGUUGUCCGGAAUUACUGGGUGUAAAGGGAGCGUAGGCGGGAUCGCAAGUCAGAUGUGAAAACUAUGGGCUUAACCCAUAAACUGCAUUUGAAACUGUGGUUCUUGAGUGAAGUAGAGGUAAGCGGAAUUCCUAGUGUAGCGGUGAAAUGCGUAGAUAUUAGGAGGAACAUCAGUGGCGAAGGCGGCUUACUGGGCUUUAACUGACGCUGAGGCUCGAAAGCGUGGGGAGCAAACAGGAUUAGAUACCCUGGUAGUCCACGCCGUAAACG
rnacentral:rRNA from 1 species